rnacentral:rRNA from 1 species
GAUGAACGCUGGCGGCGUGCUUAACACAUGCCAGUCGAACGGAAAGGCCCAAGCUUGCUUGGGUACUCGAGUGGCGAACGGGUGAGUAACACGUGGGUGAUCUGCCCUGCACUUCGGGAUAAGCCUGGGAAACUGGGUCUAAUACCGGAUAGGACCACUUCUUGGAUGUUGUGGUGGAAAGUUUUUUCGGUGUGGGAUGAGCUCGCGGCCUAUCAGCUUGUUGGUGGGGUAAUGGCCUACCAAGGCGUCGACGGGUAGCCGGCCUGAGAGGGUGUACGGCCACAUUGGGACUGAGAUACGGCCCAGACUCCUACGGGAGGCAGCAGUGGGGAAUAUUGCACAAUGGGCGCAAGCCUGAUGCAGCGACGCCGCGUGGGGGAUGACGGCCUUCGGGUUGGAAACUCCGUUCGCUAGGGACGAAGCGUUUUGUGACGGUACCUGGAGAAGAAGCACCGGCUAACUACGUG